UGCUGAUGUUGGACUUUCCCAGUGUUCCUGCUUCCUUCAGCUCGGCACAGGCUCCGCCCCCUCACCUGAAGAGGAAGCUCCGUCUCUUCUUCUUCUUGUUCUUCGCUCAGACUCUGAAGCUGCUCAUCGCUCUGUUCCUGAACCGUGUUUGAAAUCCAACGUUCCGAUUGACGU